rnacentral:rRNA from 1 species
GCAAGUCGAGCGGUAACAGAGAAUAGCUUGCUAUUCUGCUGACGAGCGGCGGACGGGUGAGUAAUGCUUGGGAAUAUGCCUUUAGGUGGGGGACAACAGUUGGAAACGACUGCUAAUACCGCAUAAUGUCUACGGACCAAAGGGGGGGAUCUUCGGACCUCCCGCCUAUAGAUUAGCCCAAGUGAGAUUAGCUAGUUGGUGAGGUAAUGGCUCACCAAGGCGACGAUCUCUAGCUGGUUUGAGAGGAUGAUC